AUUACGGGAGGCAGCAGUGGGGAAUAUUGGACAAUGGGCCACAAGCCUGAUCCAGCAAUUCUGUGUGCACGAUGAAGGUCUUCGGAUUGUAAAGUGCUUUCAGUUGGGAAGAAGAAAGUGACGGUACCAACAGAAGAAGCGACGGCUAAAUACGUGCCAGCAGCCGCGGUAAUAAUH
rnacentral:rRNA from 1 species